rnacentral:rRNA from 1 species
AACGAACGCUGGCGGCGCGCCUAAUACAUGCAAGUCGAGCGAGAAGACGUAGCAAUACGUUUGUAAAGCGGCGAACGGGUGAGGAAUACAUGGGUAACCUACCCUCGAGUGGGGAAUAACUAGCCGAAAGGUUAGCUAAUACCGCGUACGCUCCUCGGACUUCGGUUCAGGGAGGAAAGCGAUACCGUGGGUAUCGCGCUCUUGGAUGGGCUCAUGUCCUAUCAGCUUGUUGGGAGGUAACGGCUCACCAAGGCUUCGACGGGUAGCUGGUCUGAGAGGACGAUCAGCCACACUGGCACUGCGACACGGGCCAGACUCCUACGGGAGGCAGCAGUAAGGAAUAUUGCGCAAUGGGCGAAAGCCUGACGCAGCGACGCCGCGUGGGGGAUGAAGGU